GCGGGCGUGGCGGAACUGGCAGACGCGCGGGAUUUAGGUUCCCGUGCCUUCACGGCGUGCAGGUUCGACUCCUGUCGCCCGCA
rnacentral:tRNA from 1 species